rnacentral:rRNA from 1 species
GAUGAACGCUAGCGGCAGGCCUAAUACAUGCAAGUCGAACGGUGUCUUCGGACAUAGUGGCGCACGGGUGUGUAACACGUAUGCAACCUACCUUACAUUGGGGGAUAGCCUUUCGAAAGGGAGAUUAAUACCGCAUAAAACAGUAGCUGGGCAUCCAGCAGCUGUUAAAGAUUUAUCGAUGUAAGCUGGGCAUGCGUCCAAUUAGCUAGUUGGUGAGGUAACGGCUCACCAAGGCAAUGAUUGGUAGGGGAACUGAGAGGUCAAUCCCCCACACUGGCACUGGGAUACGGGCCAGACUCCUACGGGAGGCAGCAGUAGGGAAUAUUGGGCGAUGGACGCAAGUCUGACCCAGCCAUGCCGCGUGCAGGAUGAAGGCGUUAUGCGUUGUAAACUGCUUUUAUACAGGAAGAAACGACUCUUGCGAGAGGCAUUGACGGUACUGUAUGAAUAAGCACCGGCUAACUCCGUGCCAGCAGCCGCGGUAAAAC